GUCCCUGUUGCGCAAUAGAUAGCGCGUUGGACUUCUAAUCCAAAAGUCGUGGGUUCGAAGCCCACCUGGGAUG
rnacentral:tRNA from 1 species